rnacentral:rRNA from 1 species
AUUGAACGCUGGUGGUAUGCUUAACACAUGCAAGUCGGACGGAAACGAUGGAAGCUUGCUUCCAGGCGUCGAGUGGCGGACGGGUGAGUAACGCGUAGGAAUCUGCCUAAUAGUGGGGGACAAAGUGGGAAACUACUGCUAAUACCGCAUAAUACCUGAGGGUUAAAGCUGGCUUCGGCUGGCGCUAUUAGAUGAGCCUGCGUUAGAUUAGCUAGUUGGUAGGGUAAUGGCUUGCCAAGGCGACGAUCUAUAGCUGUUCUGAGAGGAAGAUCAGCCACACUGGGACUGAGACACGGCCCAG